UUGUCUCUCUUGAGUGGAUCCUGAGUACGACGGAGCACGUGAAAUUCCGUCGGAAUCUGGGAGGACCAUCUCCUAAGGCUAAAUACUCUCUAGUGACCGAUAGUGAACCAGUACCGUGAGGGAAAGGUGAAAAGCACCCCGGAAGGGGAGUGAAAUAGAACCUGAAACCGUGUGCUUACAAGUAGUCAGAGCCCGUUAAUGGGUGAUGGCGUGCCUUUUGUAGAAUGAACCGGCGAGUUACGAUUUGAUGCAAGGUUAAGCAGUAAAUGUGGAGCCGUAGCGAAAGCGAGUCUGAAUAGGGCGUUUAGUAUUUGGUCGUAGACCCGAAACCAGGUGAUCUACCCUUGGUCAGGUUGAAGUUCAGGUAACACUGAAUGGAGGACCGAACCGACUUACGUUGAAAAGUGAGCGGAUGAACUGAGGGUAGCGGAGAAAUUCCAAUCGAACCUGGAGAUAGCUGGUUCUCUCCGAAAUAGCUUUAGGGCUAGCCUCAAGUGAUGAUUAUUGGAGGUAGAGCACUGUUUGGACGAGGGGCCCCUCUCGGGUUACCGAAUUCAGACAAACUCCGAAUGCCAAUUAAUUUAACUUGGGAGUCAGAACAUGGGUGAUAAGGUCCGUGUU
rnacentral:rRNA from 1 species